rnacentral:rRNA from 1 species
UACGGGGGGAGCAAGCGUUGUUCGGAUUUACUGGGCGUAAAGGGCGCGUAGGCGGCCACCGCAAGUCGACUGUGAGAUCUCCGGGCUUAACUCGGAAAGGUCAGCCGAUACUGCGGGGCUAGAGUGCAGAAGGGGCAACUGGAAUUCUCGGUGUAGCGGUGAAAUGCGUAGAUAUCGAGAGGAACACCUGCGGCGAAGGCGGGUUGCUGGGCUGACACUGACGCUGAAGUGCGAAAGCUAGGGGAGCGAACGGG